rnacentral:rRNA from 1 species
UACGUAGGGUGCGAGCGUUAUUCGGAAUUACUGGGCGUAAAGCGUGCGCAGGCGGCUUUGUAAGCCAGAUGUGAAAUCCCCGGGCUUAACCUGGGAAUGGCAUUUGGGACUGCAAGGCUUGAGUGCUGCAGAGGAGACUGGAAUUCCUGGUGUAGCAGUGAAAUGCGUAGAUAUCAGGAGGAACACCGAUGGCGAAGGCAGGUCUCUGGGCUGACACUGACGCUCAUGCACGAAAGCGUGGGGAGCAAACAGG